CUCUUGAAUAUCAAAGGUGAGCCAGUACAGUAUGGUAAAGCGGCUGAUGAGCUAGAGGGUAAGGUAAAGGCUUACCAAGGCGACGAUCAGUAACAGCUCUGAGAGGGUGAUCGGACACAUUAGAACUGAGACUCGGUCAAAACUCCGAGCGGAGGCAACAAUGGGGGAGAUUGCACAAUGGCCGAAGGCAUGAUGCAGCAACGCCACGAGAGUGAUGAAGGACUUCAGCU
rnacentral:rRNA from 1 species